rnacentral:misc_RNA from 1 species
GAUGAAAGAACGCAGCGAAAUGCGAUAAGUAAUGUGAAUUGCAGAAUUCAGUGAAUCAUCGAAUCUUUGAACGCACAUUGCGCCCGCCAGUAUUCUGGCGGGCAUGCCUGUUCGAGCGUCAUUUCAACCAUCAAGCCCCCGGCUUGUGUUGGGGACCUGCGGCUGCCGCAGGCCCUGAAAACCAGUGGCGGGCUCGCUAGUCACUCCGAGCGUAGUAAUACAUCUCGCUCAGGGCGUGCUGCGGGUUCCGGCCGUUAAAAAGCCUUAUUUACCCAAGGUUGACCUCGGAUCAGGUAGGAAGACCCGCUGAACUUAAGCAUAUCAAUAAGCGGAGGA